rnacentral:rRNA from 1 species
GACGAACGCUGGCGGCGUGCUUAACACAUGCAAGUCGAACGGAAAGGCCCUGCUUUUGUGGGGUGCUCGAGUGGCGAACGGGUGAGUAACACGUGAGUAACCUGCCCUUGACUUUGGGAUAACUUCAGGAAACUGGGGCUAAUACCGGAUAGGAGCUCCUGCUGCAUGGUGGGGGUUGGAAAGUUUCGGCGGUUGGGGAUGGACUCGCGGCUUAUCAGCUUGUUGGUGGGGUAGUGGCUUACCAAGGCUUUGACGGGUAGCCGGCCUGAGAGGGUGACCGGCCACAUUGGGACUGAGAUACGGCCCAGACUCCUACGGGAGGCAGCAGUGGGGAAUAUUGCACAAUGGGCGGAAGCCUGAUGCAGCAACGCCGCGUGCGGGAUGACGGCCUUCGGGUUGUAAACCGCUUUCGCCUGUGACGAAGCGUGAGUGGCGGUAAUGGGUUAAGAAGCACCGGCUAACUACGUG